AUGAGUGUUAAGAUUUGGUGGAGACAGGACUCACUUGCAGCAGAACAUGGCUUUAUCAGAAUGCCGGAGACUCUUCCCAUGGAAGCUGUUCUACCACCACAAUCACUUGGAAGACCUUAAUCCAAAUUUCUGCAAUAAAUAAGUAGUUAGGUCUUAAAUGAAAAAUCUCUAUACUUCUAGUAGAACUCCUUCUGUCCUUUAAUACUGGACAGGUAACUGUAGCACUGAUGUUGUGUCUCAGUAGCAGUCAGAGAUCCUCAGAAUAUUUUAUUUAUGAGUGGUUGCAGGGUGUGCGUGGGUUUUUGUUGUGUUUUGUGUGGGCUUUUUGCUUGAGUUUUUUUGUUUUGUUUUUUAAGCACAGUCCCAGCAGAGGGAACAUGAGAUUUAUCCCUUCAGGUCAGCAUUCCAGUGAAAAGUUAGCUUUCAAAGGUAUGAGAAAGAUGAGGCAAACACCAGAAAGAGAACAAGCACAGUUUUGUAUUUAUUUAUCAGCUUCAUUAUGGAUAAUGUUAUUCCCAAAUAAAGAAUACUGCUACUGAACUAUACGGUAUACACCUUUAAUAUUGUAUGUAGCUCAUGUCUGGGAAUACUUAAGGAGUAUUAAAACCCCAAACCCACUGUAGGCCUUGUUCAGCUCUGUAUGGGAAAAUAACUACUUUAACCACUGCAAUAUCUAACUAUGCUGAUAGAUCUGCUAGCUCUUACAUUAGAGGAAUGUUACCCAUGAUAUUGCUGUGCCAUAAAGAGAACAUUUAAAGAUAGGUAACAAAUAGGUAACAAAGCAGAGCCACCAGGUUAUACUAGUUUCAACCUUGUCUCUGCACAGCUCCGACAUUAAAGCAGUAGCUGGGAAUAUGCCGAGAACAAUUGAGGGAGCUACAGCAUCCUGAUCCACGCUUGCCUUAAACAUAUAUAUUGCAAUACAGAACAUCUUCUGUCUCUUGGACAUACUCUGGAUUGGAGUGCUGCAUAUCAAGCAGUUGGCUCGUAGCCUGCCCAGGAGGGGUAAGGAACAAGUAAAUGCAUUUCCUAAGCUUUUCUGCUUCUUAUCAUCUUCCCCGCUUUCAUCUAUUACCCUGCUUAAAUAUGAAAUACCUGUGUUUCAUCUGUGUUGCUUUGUUUAGAAAAAAUGCAGAAGAGUUACAUAUACAAUAAGUUUAUGUUUUUCUCUUAUAUUUUUAUGGCCAUCUGGAAUACCCUAUAGCUGUGACACAUACACAUGUGUGACCAUAAACCAUUCAAGAUAAAGUACAUACUGGAAUGUUUUAUUCAGAACAUUCAUUGCAAUAUUUGCAUAAUCCUUUUCCAGAAGUCAUUCAUUCAUGUUUCUGUUGACAGAAGAGUCAAGAUUCAGUGUUUUAUAACCAGUUCCUCAGUGCAAGUGUGCUCCAUGCCUUCAAGUAGAGCACAAGUUACCACACCUGCUUAGCUGUUAAGGUAAAUCUUUUAAGUCAACCAUUGGCCAUUUCAGACGUUCACAUUUCUAGGUUUGAUUUAUCCACAGUCAAUUUCUAACUGAGCUUUCUCCAUCCCACCCAGCUGCCAAUUACUAGUAUUUUAAUCCACAUGCUUAACAAGCAGAGGCUUUACUGCAUACUUAAAUUUUUAUUGGGCUAAUAUUUGACACCAAGAUUGAUCAAAGAAUCCUGGGGAUAUAUUGAAUAUAGUUUGUGUUGCUUCUCCAUGGAUGCUUGGCAUCAGAAGGGAUGGAAUUGAUUUUUUUUUUUUUAAGGUCUUUAUUAAAAUAUAUGUUGCCUUAAUAUUUGAUAUUGCCAGACACAAUUUUGGCAUGUAUGUUACAUGGUAUCAGAGAUAACUUUUUUAAUUUACAUCCAACAUUUCUGCGUGUGGAGCAGAAAACCCUAAGCCAACAGAAAUGUUCACAAACUGUUAUCUCACCACUUAACGUACCAAGGUUGAGGGAAAAAAACGCCGAAGAAUUACACUCCAAAGCUAUUCCCUGAUCCUGUCCCUCUUUCCACAGGCAUAACCCUCUAUGUGAAGUACCCAGACUACACGAGCACCUGACUCGUCCCCCGCUUGUUCCUGACCUCCGCGGUCGUUUCUCCAGCGGUGUGAGCGGCCACCCCGCGAGUUGCCAGAGUCCCAUUAUUCUCCUCUAAUGGUGACCCCGAUGUGAUCAGCGAAGGUCAGGCAGAGAAAGACACCAGCUGGAAGCUGCUCAGCAGAACUGAGACAGGGGCUGAGAUGACAUCUUGGAGAUAAAGAGGAUACGCUGCAGCGGGAAUAACACCCAGCAAGUUCUUCCAGUGUUUUGCCAUCUACCAUAAAAGGCUGAUUGGAGCUGCUGGGCACAGGCAGAGGGCAUUUCUUCAAUUUCUUCAGUGAAACUCCUUGUAGAGAAGCUGUGGGCUCAGCUGCUGCCUGGAACAAGCAUCACAUGUUAGAAAAGCUGCAAAGUUUUGACUCAACAGCCACUGCAUGUUCUGCACUGAUUUAAAGCACCAGCCCUUUCUUAAUCAGAGCCUUGCCAAGCCCCAGGAGCUCAUUCUCAUGCCAGAGGAAGACAGCAGCCUCUUAAUUUGGCCUCUUAAUUUGCCUUCAUGAAAUUUGAAUUUGUACACAUUACAGCAUCUCACACUUCGCCAGCCUGCUGAGCUCAGGGAGUCGAUGGCUCAUCUUAGGAAGUGGGCUGUCAAAUAGGAAGAGGAGGUUGCACUGUCAGAGCAAUGUCUGGAGCAGUUUCUCACAGAGACCCGUAUGAGCAUGACUCAAGGCUCCAACAGUGACCUUGGUAAGGUUAGGAGAGGGACUGCCCCGCACUUCCCGUGACAGAGCACUCCACGGGACAGGAAUCCCAAUUUUCUACAUGUUACUGACGUGGCAUCCUCUGAGCACUGUCUGCCCAGCAGGUCUGUACUUUGGCACCUGCCUUCAAAUGAAGGGUCGCCCCGGUCCUGCCCAAUUUGAUAAUGCAACACACCGAAAAAAAGUUCAUCUUUAAUUCCCCAAGCUGCCUCAACUCAUGGUAUUUUUCUGUCUUAUCCAGCACACUUGAUUACACCGAAGUCCCUUUUAGCAAAAGCACACCGCAGGCGCUGGACUCGGCUGUGCCAUCAGCCAGCACCUCUCCAUCUAUCACCCUUGGUCUGUCACGGCACGGCCUGGUCCAGACCAGCUCCUGCUGGGCAACACUAGUCCUGAAAGCUGGUGUGUGGGCGAUGGGUUUGGGAGCCCUGGGGAAAGCUCCCUGGCCUCCAGAAGAACUCUCAUCCCACAGAUCUUCUCCAGCAGCAUGCAGGAGCUAAUAAUAUCCCUCUGCUGUUGUUAUAUAGCAUUUCCUUCUCUUUAUUUUAACUUUUACUGGUUGCAUUACCAGCUGCUCCUUUGCCUCUGUCGCAUGACUGAGCGUCAAAAGAAGCCAUAAAUCAGCUUAUGGUAUUCAUCGAAUGGUAAAAUCGGCACUUUCUCCCCUUCUGAAGGACUAGAAUUUUAAGUACAGCUUCUAAAUAUACUUUUAAGAUUUUAUUAUUGUAGUUACCACUAAAAAAAGAUUUAAGAGACAACACAAAACCAGCUUUCCCUGGAGAAGGUAUGUACUGAUCGGCACAAGAGGAACAAAGCCACAGAUCUCAACUGGGGACAUGCUGGGAACCACGGCCGCAGCCAGGGCAGGCAGAGCCCUUCCCCAGUGCUGGUGCGCUCCGGGACACACUUGGUGGGAAGCUGGAGCUAAAGAGCAGGAUGGGCACAGGCGUACUGGGACCAAAACCCCGAGUCAAAUCCUCCACUUACCUCACCCUGACACUCCCCAAUAUCCCAAUAUCCCACCCUUUCUUUUGUUAGAGACAAAAACCAGCACAGCUCACCAAUACGGGAAGCACCCUCUGGUGUCCAGUGCAUCCCUGUCUGACCAGAGACCGGAGCCAAGAAGCGUCAAUACGAGAAAACCAUCAGGGAAAUUAAUUUCCAAACAAUUCUUUCGUGAUCCGCUGUGUGUUUUCCUUUCAAUGACUAUUUCUAGUAAAAUGCAAAAGGUAUCAAUAUAACUAUUUAUUGCUUCCUAAUACAAGUACAGUAAUUGCACAUUAAAACUGAACAAAGUAUAUGAGUAAGAAUAA